rnacentral:rRNA from 1 species
UACAUGCAGUCGAGCGAAUCGAUGGGAGCUUGCUCCCUGAGAUUAGCGGCGGACGGGUGAGUAACACGUGGGCAACCUGCCUAUAAGACUGGGAUAACUUCGGGAAACCGGAGCUAAUACCGGAUACGUUCUUCUCUCGCAUGAGAGAAGAUGGAAAGACGGUUUACGCUGUCACUUAUAGAUGGGCCCGCGGCGCAUUAGCUAGUUGGUGAGGUAAUGGCUCACCAAGGCGACGAUGCGUAGCCGACCUGAGAGGGUGAUCGGCCACACUGGGACUGAGACACGGCCCAGACUCCUACGGGAGGCAGCAGUAGGGAAUCUUCCGCAAUGGACGAAAGUCUGACGGAGCAACGCCGCGUGAACGAAGAAGGCCUUCGGGUCGUAAAGUUCUGUUGUUAGGGAAGAACAAGUACCAGAGUAACUGCUGGUACCUUGACGGUACCUAACCAGAAAGCCACGGCUAACUACGUGCCAGCAGCCGCGGUAAUACGUAGGUGGCAAGCGUUGUCCGGAAUUAUUGGGCGUAAAGCGCGCGCAGGUGGUUCCUUAAGUCUGAUGUGAAAGCCCACGGCUCAACCGUGGAGGGUCAUUGGAAACUGGGGAACUUGAGUGCAGAAGAGGAAAGUGGAAUUCCAAGUGUAGCGGUGAAAUGCGUAGAGAUUUGGAGGAACACCAGUGGCGAAGGCGACUUUCUGGUCUGUAACUGACACUGAGGCGCGAAAGCGUGGGGAGCAAACAGGAUUAGA